AUCGAACGCUGGCGGCAUGCUUUACACAUGCAAGUCGAACGGUGACAGGCCGCAAGGUGCUGACGAGUGGCGAACGGGUGAGUAAUGCAUCGGAACGUGCCCAGUCGUGGGGGAUAACGCAGCGAAAGCUGUGCUAAUACCGCAUACGAUCUGUGGAUGAAAGCGGGGGACCGUAAGGCCUCGCGCGAUUGGAGCGGCCGAUGUCAGAUUAGGUAGUUGGUGGGGUAAAGGCUCACCAAGCCGACGAUCUGUAGCUGGUCUGAGAGGACGACCAGCCACACUGGGACUGAGACACGGCCCAGACUCCGACGGGAGGCAGCAGUGGGGAAUUUUGGACAAUGGGCGCAAGCCUGAUCCAGCAAUGCCGCGUGCAGGAAGAAGGCCUUCGGGUUGUAAACUGCUUUUGUACGGAGCGAAAAGGCUCCCUCUAAUACAGGGGGCCCAUGACGGUACCGUAAGAAUAAGCACCGGCUAACUACGUGCCAGCCGCCGCGGUAAUAC
rnacentral:rRNA from 1 species